rnacentral:rRNA from 1 species
UACGUAGGGGCAAGCGUUGUCCGGAUUUAUUGGGCGUAAAGAGCGUGUAGGCGGCCAUGUAGGUCCGUUGUGAAAACUCGAGGCUCAACCUCGAGACGCCGAUGGAAACCAUGUGGCUAGAGUCCGGAAGAGGAGAGUGGAAUUCCUGGUGUAGCGGUGAAAUGCGCAGAUAUCAAGGAAGAACACCCGUGGCUAAGGCGGCUCUCUAGUACGGUACUGACGCUGAGACGCGAAAGCGUGGGGAGCGAACAGG